AGCGUACACGGUGGAUGCCCUGGCAGUCAGAGGCGAUGAAGGACGUGCUAAUCUGCGAUAAGCGUCGGUAAGGUGAUAUGAACCGUUAUAACCGGCGAUUUCCGAAUGGGGAAACCCAGUGUGUUUCGACACACUAUCAUUAACUGAAUCCAUAGGUUAAUGAGGCGAACCGGGGGAACUGAAACAUCUAAGUACCCCGAGGAAAAGAAAUCAACCGAGAUUCCCCCAGUAGCGGCGAGCGAACGGGGAGCAGCCCAGAGCCUGAAUCAGUGUGUGUGUUAGUGGAAGCGUCUGGAAAGGCGCGCGAUACAGGGUGACAGCCCCGUACACAAAAAUGCACAUGCUGUGAGCUCGAUGAGUAGGGCGGGACACGUGGUAUCCUGUCUGAAUAUGGGGGGACCAUCCUCCAAGGCUAAAUACUCCUGACUGACCGAUAGUGAACCAGUACCGUGAGGGAAAGGCGAAAAGAACCCCGGCGAGGGGAGUGAAAAAGAACCUGAAACCGUGUACGUACAAGCAGUGGGAGCCUCUUUAUGGGGUGACUGCGUACCUUUUGUAUAAUGGGUCAGCGACUUAUAUUCUGUAGCAAGGUUAACCGAAUAGGGGAGCCGAAGGGAAACCGAGUCUUAACUGGGCGUUAAGUUGCAGGGUAUAGACCCGAAACCCGGUGAUCUAGCCAUGGGCAGGUUGAAGGUUGGGUAACACUAACUGGAGGACCGAACCGACUAAUGUUGAAAAAUUAGCGGAUGACUUGUGGCUGGGGGUGAAAGGCCAAUCAAACCGGGAGAUAGCUGGUUCUCCCCGAAAGCUAUUUAGGUAGCGCCUCGUGAAUUCAUCUCCGGGGGUAGAGCACUGUUUCGGCAAGGGGGUCAUCCCGACUUACCAACCCGAUGCAAACUGCGAAUACCGGAGAAUGUUAUCACGGGAGACACACGGCGGGUGCUAACGUCCGUCGUGAAGAGGGAAACAACCCAGACCGCCAGCUAAGGUCCCAAAGUCAUGGUUAAGUGGGAAACGAUGUGGGAAGGCCCAGACAGCCAGGAUGUUGGCUUAGAAGCAGCCAUCAUUUAAAGAAAGCGUAAUAGCUCACUGGUCGAGUCGGCCUGCGCGGAAGAUGUAACGGGGCUAAACCAUGCACCGAAGCUGCGGCAGCGACGCUUAUGCGUUGUUGGGUAGGGGAGCGUUCUGUAAGCCUGUGAAGGUGUGCUGUGAGGCAUGCUGGAGGUAUCAGAAGUGCGAAUGCUGACAUAAGUAACGAUAAAGCGGGUGAAAAGCCCGCUCGCCGGAAGACCAAGGGUUCCUGUCCAACGUUAAUCGGGGCAGGGUGAGUCGACCCCUAAGGCGAGGCCGAAAGGCGUAGUCGAUGGGAAACAGGUUAAUAUUCCUGUACUUGGUGUUACUGCGAAGGGGGGACGGAGAAGGCUAUGUUGGCCGGGCGACGGUUGUCCCGGUUUAAGCGUGUAGGCUGGUUUUCCAGGCAAAUCCGGAAAAUCAAGGCUGAGGCGUGAUGACGAGGCACUACGGUGCUGAAGCAACAAAUGCCCUGCUUCCAGGAAAAGCCUCUAAGCAUCAGGUAACAUCAAAUCGUACCCCAAACCGACACAGGUGGUCAGGUAGAGAAUACCAAGGCGCUUGAGAGAACUCGGGUGAAGGAACUAGGCAAAAUGGUGCCGUAACUUCGGGAGAAGGCACGCUGAUAUGUAGGUGAAGUCCCUCGCGGAUGGAGCUGAAAUCAGUCGAAGAUACCAGCUGGCUGCAACUGUUUAUUAAAAACACAGCACUGUGCAAACACGAAAGUGGACGUAUACGGUGUGACGCCUGCCCGGUGCCGGAAGGUUAAUUGAUGGGGUCAGCGCAAGCGAAGCUCUUGAUCGAAGCCCCGGUAAACGGCGGCCGUAACUAUAACGGUCCUAAGGUAGCGAAAUUCCUUGUCGGGUAAGUUCCGACCUGCACGAAUGGCGUAAUGAUGGCCAGGCUGUCUCCACCCGAGACUCAGUGAAAUUGAACUCGCUGUGAAGAUGCAGUGUACCCGCGGCAAGACGGAAAGACCCCGUGAACCUUUACUAUAGCUUGACACUGAACAUUGAGCCUUGAUGUGUAGGAUAGGUGGGAGGCUUAGAAGUGUGGACGCCAGUCUGCAUGGAGCCGACCUUGAAAUACCACCCUUUAAUGUUUGAUGUUCUAACGUUGACCCGUGAUCCGGGUUGCGGACAGUGUCUGGUGGGUAGUUUGACUGGGGCGGUCUCCUCCUAAAGAGUAACGGAGGAGCACGAAGGUUGGCUAAUCCUGGUCGGACAUCAGGAGGUUAGUGCAAUGGCAUAAGCCAGCUUGACUGCGAGCGUGACGGCGCGAGCAGGUGCGAAAGCAGGUCAUAGUGAUCCGGUGGUUCUGAAUGGAAGGGCCAUCGCUCAACGGAUAAAAGGUACUCCGGGGAUAACAGGCUGAUACCGCCCAAGAGUUCAUAUCGACGGCGGUGUUUGGCACCUCGAUGUCGGCUCAUCACAUCCUGGGGCUGAAGUAGGUCCCAAGGGUAUGGCUGUUCGCCAUUUAAAGUGGUACGCGAGCUGGGUUUAGAACGUCGUGAGACAGUUCGGUCCCUAUCUGCCGUGGGCGCUGGAGAACUGAGGGGGGCUGCUCCUAGUACGAGAGGACCGGAGUGGACGCAUCACUGGUGUUCGGGUUGUCAUGCCAAUGGCACUGCCCGGUAGCUAAAUGCGGAAGAGAUAAGUGCUGAAAGCAUCUAAGCACGAAACUUGCCCCGAGAUGAGUUCUCCCUGACUCCUUGA
rnacentral:rRNA from 1 species